rnacentral:rRNA from 1 species
CAGUAGCCGCGGGAAUACGUAGGUGGCAAGCGUUGUCCGGAAUUAUUGGGCGUAAAGGGCUCGCAGGCGGUUUCUUAAGUCUGAUGUGAAAGCCCCCGGCUCAACCGGGGAGGGUCAUUGGAAACUGGGAAACUUGAGUGCAGAAGAGGAGAGUGGAAUUCCACGUGUAGCGGUGAAAUGCGUAGAUAUCGGAAGGAACACCAGUGGCGAAGGCGGCUACCUGGAUUGACACUGACACUGAGAGACGAAAGCUAGGGGAGCAAAUGGGAUUAGAUACCCCUGUAGUCCCUGUCUCUUAUAA